AUCUUGUUCACGAUGACGAUCUUGGGCCCCAGCUGUUUGUUGACUGUGAAGAUGUGCAGCAGUCGUAGCGUGAAGACCAUGAAGUCGAGGCAGAGGACGGUGCGGCCCAGAUGCCCAGGGGCGAGCGACCCAUUAGGGCCAUCCUGAUGUGGUGCUUUCAUUUCGAUCAAGAAGGAAGAAUCACAAGGGGCUGGAGCCCAGCAGGGAGGAACGGAGGCAGGUGGCCGGGACACUCACCGGCAGCCCACGCCCAGGAGGAAGCAGGCGAGGGCCACCAGGUCGCACUGGUUCCAGGUGUCUGAGAGAGCAGCGUGAAGGCCCAGAAGUAAAGCAGCAGCUCCAGGGCACCGGGAGCCUUGGGCUGGAAGUCCAUGAGCAGCACAUGGGCGAAAAGCAGCAGGAAGAGGAGGUAGCUGACCACGUUGCCCAUGAAAGCAGUCACUGGCGCCCCCCAGAACUGAGGCCAGCGGCGUAGACGCGGGGGGCACCUCCUGCAGCAGCCCCUGGGCCUGCGCUGCCCCAGCACCUGCACGGCCGUCUUCUCGGAGGGCUCCGUCGGCCUGGGGGUGAGAGGGAGGGAAAGAGAAGGGCUCAGCCUGACCUCUGAGCCCCUGGUCACCAUCAUCAAGACCUCUCACCUUUCACAUCUGACCUCUAACCUUGCCUGACCUGAAACCAAGUCCCUGUCUGCCAUCUCCUUGACUUUUGAUCCCUAUACCUGACCUCUGACCUCUGAAAUCUACCGUCAAGCCUGCUGACCUUCCAUCUCUGACCUUCUCCACCAUCUGACCUCUGGCCCCUGUGAUGACCUCUGACCCUGGUCUGACUCCAAAUCCCUCUUUUCAUCUUUAUAACCUCUGACAUAUGUCUGACCUCAGACCAUCUAUCUGACCUCUGAUCCCCUCACUUUCAUGACCUCGGUUCCCCAGGGUUGACAGCCCUGUACCUGAAUAUUAACUUCUGACCCACAAAUUCUCAUGUCAGAUUGUCUAGCCCAGUGUUUCCCGUAUCUGACCUUGGACCAUACAGCCAUAUGUGGCUUCUGAAUUCUGACCUUGCUCCACUCCUAUCUCUGACCAUUCUCGUCCCAGUUCUGACCCUCUGUCCCAAUUUCAUCCUGACACUUCAUUCUGACUUCAAAUCAGAAAUGCCAAAAUGAAUAAUAAUACAAAUAAUAAUAAACCCAACAAGCUA